UGGGGAAUUUUGGACAAUGGGCGAAAGCCUGAUCCAGCCAUGCCGCGUGAGUGAAGAAGGCCUUCGGGUUGUAAAGCUCUUUCGGCGGGGACGAAAAGGUCUGUAUUAACACUGCAGAUCCAUGACGGUACCCGCAGAAGAAGCACCGGCUAACUACGUGCCAGCAGCCGCGGUAAUACGUAGGGUGCAGGCGUUAAUCGGAAUUACUGGGCGUAAAGCGUGCGCAGGCGGUUUGUUAAGACAGAUGUGAAAUCCCCGGGCUUAACCUGGGAACUGCGUUUGUAGCUGGCAAGCUAGAGUGUGGCAGAGGGGGGUGGAAUUCCACGUGUAGCAGUGAAAUGCGUAGAGAUGUGGAGGAACACCGAUGGCGAAGGCAGCCCCCUGGGCUAACACUGACGCUCAUGCACGAAAGCGUGGGGAGCAAA
rnacentral:rRNA from 1 species